UAGUCAUAUGCUUGUCCUAAAGAUUAAGCCAUGCAUGCCUCAGAAUAACUGCAUUGCAGGACUCUGCGCAUGGCUCAUUACAUCAGACUUAAUCUGCCGCAAUAACGUUGCGGUCUCCGCAAGACUGGAUAUCUUGGCGAAACGUCAAGCUAAUACAUGAACUAACGGGUCUUUUCCCCUCGUUGGGAGGCCUUGGAAUGAAUGAAAUUAAAAUCAACGCCACGUACGUGGCAGCAACCUGAGAAGUGUUGAAUCAAUUCAUUCCCACCGAAAGCUGGUUUACCAGCGUCUUUUGACGAAAAACUGCCCUAUCAGCUUGAUGGCCGUGUAGUGGACUGCCAAGGCGUUGACGGGAGCGGGGGAUUAGGGUUCGAUUCCGGAGAGGGAGCCUGAGAGAUAGCUACCACUUCUACGGAGGGCAGCAGGCGCGCAAAUUGCCCAAUGCCGAGAAAAUACGGUGAGGCAGCGAAAAGAAAUAGGACUUCUAGGCUUUGCUUGGAAGACAAUGGGGGAUAUUUAAUGCCAUCCAAAAUCGAGUAUCAAUU
rnacentral:rRNA from 1 species